rnacentral:rRNA from 1 species
AUACGGAGGAUGCAAGCGUUAUCCGGAUUUAUUGGGUUUAAAGGGUGCGUAGGCUGUUCGGAAAGUCAGGGGUGAAAGCCCGGCGCUCAACGCCGGAACUGCCUUUGAUACUUUCGAGCUGGAAUACGGAUGCCGUGGGAGGAAUGAGUAGUGUAGCGGUGAAAUGCAUAGAUAUUACUCAGAACACCGAUUGCGAAGGCAUCUCACGAAUCCGUCAUUGACGCUGAGGCACGAAAGCGUGGGGAUCAAACAGGAUUAGAUACCCUGGUAGUCCACGCAGUAAACGAUGAUAACUAACCGUCGGCGAUACACAGUCGGUGGCCAAGCGAAAGCGAUAAGUUAUCCACCUGGGGAGUACGUUCGCAAGAAUGAA